rnacentral:pre_miRNA from 1 species
AUCAUCUGUGGAUCUUGUUAAAAUGCAGAUUCUGAUUCAGUAGGUCUGGGGUGAAGCCCAAGAUUUUGCAUUUCUAACAAGCUCUCAAGUGAUGCCCA